AACCCAUGAUUUUGGCAUUUUCUCAACAUCAUCUUGAAUCUCUCCCAUGUUUAACAGAAAGAUUCCUCUGCUCCUUGUCUAAACAUAGAAAUUUCAAACUUAGCUU
rfam:Phaseolus vulgaris cultivar G19833 chromosome 11, whole genome shotgun sequence.